rnacentral:rRNA from 1 species
AGUGAACGCUGGCGGUAGGCCUAACACAUGCAAGUCGAACGGCAGCACAGUAAGAGCUUGCUCUUACGGGUGGCGAGUGGCGGACGGGUGAGGAAUGCAUCGGAAUCUACUUUUUCGUGGGGGAUAACGUAGGGAAACUUACGCUAAUACCGCAUACGACCUACGGGUGAAAGCAGGGGAUCUUCGGACCUUGCGCGAUUGAAUGAGCCGAUGUCGGAUUAGCUAGUUGGCGGGGUAAAGGCCCACCAAGGCGACGAUCCGUAGCUGGUCUGAGAGGAUGAUCAGCCACACUGGAACUGAGACACGGUCCAGACUCCUACGGGAGGCAGCAGUGGGGAAUAUUGGACAAUGGGCGCAAGCCUGAUCCAGCCAUACCGAGUGGGUGAAGAAGGCCUUCGGGUUGUAAAGCCCUUUUGUUGGGAAAGAAAAGCAGCAGGUUAAUACCCCGCUGUUCUGACGGUACCCAAAGAAUAAGCACCGGCUAACUUCGUG